AUUGAACGCUGGCGGAAUGCUUUACACAUGCAAGUCGAACGGCAGCACGCACUUCGGUCUGGUGGCGCGUGGCGAACGGGUGAGUAAUGUACCGGAACGUGCCCAGUCGUGGGGGAUAACGUAGUGAAAAUUACGCCAAUACCGCAUACGACCUAUGGAUGGAAGCGGGGGUUGGCAAGACCUUGCGCGAUUGGAGCGGCCGAUAUCAGAUUAGGUAGUUGGUGGGGUAAAGGCCCACCAAGCCAACGAUCGGUAGCUGGUCUGAGAGGACGACCAGCCACACUGGAACUGAGACACGGUCCAGACUCCUACGGGAGGCAGCAGUGGGGAAUUUUGGACAAUGGGCGAAAGCCUGAUCCAGCCAUUCCGCGUGCAGGAUGAAGGCCCUCGGGUUGUAAACUGCUUUUGUACAGAACGAAAAGGUUUCUACUAAUACUAGGAGCUCAUGACGGUACUGUAAGAAUAAGCACCGGCUAACUACGUGCCAGCAGCCGCAGUAA
rnacentral:rRNA from 1 species